rnacentral:rRNA from 1 species
AACGAACGCUGGCGGCAUGCCUAACACAUGCAAGUCGAACGAGACCUUCGGGUCUAGUGGCGCACGGGUGCGUAACGCGUGGGAACCUGCCCUUAGGCUCGGAAUAACUCCCCGAAAGGGGUGCUAAUAUCGGAUAAUUUCUGCGGACCAAAGAUUUAUCGCCUUUGGAUGGGCCCGCGUUGGUUUAGCUAGUUGGUAGGGUAAAAGCCUACCAAGGCGCCGAUCCAUAGCUGGUCUGAGAGGAUGAUCCGCCACACUGGGACGGGGACACGGCCCAGACUCUGACGGAAGGGAGCAGUGGGGAAUCUUGGACACUGGGCGAAAGCCUGAUCCAGCAAUGCCGCGAGGGUGAUGAAGGCCUUAGGGUUGUAAAGCUCUUUUACCCGCGAUGAUAAGGACAGAACCGAGAGAUUAAGCCCCGGCUACUUCCGU